rnacentral:tRNA from 1 species
GCUGGCUCAGUUGGUAGAGCAUGUGACUCUAGAUCUCAGAGUUGUGAGUUCAAGCCCCAUAUUGGGCA